GAAAACGGAAAAUAAAAACAGCAGACCUAUGAAGGUCGAAGGGGAAGAAAAGCUGUAUCGAUUGUUGAGAUCUGGCGACUUGUUUAAAUUUCAUCAGCCUCACUUCUAUGAACUCUCAGAGCUGAUUACCAACUCCUACCACUGUUAACCCUCAUCCAGGAACAAGCUUAUGUCUUUAACAUUCUGAGUGGGCUUCAGCAUCCUUGCAUAUGUUCAAUUCUUAAAAACCUGUUGAAAUAAAAGAUCAGGAGACAUAGGAAGGAUGCCAGAAGAGAGCGUGGCCUCACGUGUACCAGCUCUCUGCUCUCCUUUGCCUUGGGACGUUCCAUCCCUGGAAGUUUCCCUGCCCACAUCUUUGUAGAGAGUCCAUUCUCCAAGCUUCAGUGUGUCAUCUGUGAGGACCGUGACCCACCUGGUACAUCGCCUCAGGGCAUUCAUUUCAGGCUCCUUCUAAAUGGCCAAGGACUUUACUGAAGACUCUAAGGAGGACCUGUAUCUGUUGGGAUCCUCAGGGCAAGCCACAGAAACAAGCUUUGGAUACUAGAAGCAGAAAAUGGAGAUAUUGAAGACUAUUGUGGAGUUUACUGUGAGCCAGAGAACCAGGCUGGGGGGCUGUAUCACUUAGAAUGAGAUCCAAACUCACACCAUAGUUCCAUCCUUGAGGUUGCCAUGUUGCUGCCACCCCUCCUGCCACCCCACCACUGAAGCUUUGGAUGCUGGAUUCUGGGCACAGCAGGGAGAAGUGUUGCUUAUUACCAUUUUAGUAUGUUUUCUUUCAAGACCUUUUCAAAAUAUACAUACGUAUUUUUAUUUCUAUUCAAAAUGGGAUACAUUUUUGAAGGUUAGCAAUAUAUUGUGAACAUUUUCUUUCCAUGCUCAGAAACAUUUUUCUAUAAUGUAAUUUAUAGUGAUAUAAACUAUCUCAUAGACCUACCAUAGUUUACCUAACAAAUCCCAAAUCAUUUGUGCCAUUUCUAAAUUUUUAUUAUUUUAUGUAAUGCUUUAAUGAACAUCCUUGCAUUUAUAUUUUAUACAAUUUUAGAAGUGGAAUUACUGGUUCAAAAUACAUGGUGAUUUUUAAUUCUUCUGUUGAAUAUUGACAAAUUGCAAUCCUGAGAGUUAUCUUGAAGGAUAGAGUACAUGCCCAGGGUUCUUUUUUAAGAAAUAAUUUGUAAUGUGAAACAGAAUAGGCUAAAUGUUUUUUAUUCUCUUAGUCCUACUCUGUCAUUCUGCAGAGUUUCACUUAUUUGGAUUCAAAUUCUAAUUCCAGCCUACCUCUCUUUUUAUAUAAUUGUUAGGAGGAUUAAAUUAGAUGCAUAAAAUUGCUGCUUACUACAUACAUUGCACAAACUAAAAACUUUUCAAAGG
rnacentral:lncRNA from 1 species